CACGUAGGGGGCAAGCGUUGUCCGGAUUUAUUGGGCGUAAAGAGCUCGUAGGCGGUUCGGUAAGUCAGGUGUGAAACCUCCAGGCUCAACCUGGAGACGCCACCUGAUACUGCUGUGACUCGAGUCCGGUAGGGGAGCGUGGAAUUCCUGGUGUAGCGGUGAAAUGCGCAGAUAUCAGGAGGAACACCAGCGGCGAAGGCGGCGCUCUGGGCAUUACCUGACGCUGAGGAGCGAAAGUGUGGGGAGCGAAACAGG
rnacentral:rRNA from 1 species